AGCAGCCGCGGUAAUUCCAGCUCCAAUAGCGUAUAUUAAAGUUGUUGCAGUUAAAAAGCUCGUAGUUGAAUUUCGGGAUCAUCAGGUUGGUCAUGCCACUGGUAUGCACUGGUCUCGGUGAUUCCUCCUUCUUGAGAAGCCGUGAUGCCAUUCAGUUGGUGUUGCGGGGAAUCAGGACUGUUACUUUGAAAAAAUUAGAGUGUUUAAAGCAGGCUCACGCUUGAAUACAUUAGCAUGGAAUAAUAGAAUAGGACGUUCGAUCCUAUUUUGUUGGUUUCUAGGGUUGACGUAAUGAUUAAUAGGGAUAGUUGGGGGCAUUAGUAUUCAAUUGUCAGAGGUGAAAUUCUUGGAUUUAUUGAAGACUAACUACUGCGAAAGCAUUUGCCAAGGAUGUUUUCAUUAAUCAAGAACGAAAGUUAGGGGAUCGAAGACGAUCAGAUACCGUCGUAGUCUUAACCAUAAACUAUGCCGACUAGGGAUCGGAUGAUGUUAAUUUUUAAUGACUCUA
rnacentral:rRNA from 1 species